rnacentral:rRNA from 1 species
GACGAACGCUGGCGGCGUGCUUAACACAUGCAAGUCGAGCGGUAAGGCCCUUUCGGGGGUACACGAGCGGCGAACGGGUGAGUAACACGUGGGUGACCUGCCCUCAGCUCUGGGAUAAGCCUGGGAAACUGGGUCUAAUACCGGAUAUGACUCCAUGACGCAUGUUGUGGGGUGGAAAGCCUUGUGCGGCUGAGGAGUGGGCCCGCGGCCUAUCAGCUUGUUGGUGGGGUGAUGGCCUACCAAGGCGACGACGGGUAGCCGGCCUGAGAGGGCGACCGGCCACACUGGGAC